GGUGAACGCUGGCGGCGUGCCUAAGACAUGCAAGUCGAGCGGGGCAGGUUUAUACCUGUUCAGCGGCGGACGGGUGAGUAACGCGUGGGUGACCUACCCGGAAGAGGCGGACAACCUGGGGAAACCCAGGCUAAUCCGCCAUGUGGUCCUGUCCUGUGGGGCAGGACUAAAGGGUGGAUAGCCCGCUUCCGGAUGGGCCCGCGUCCCAUCAGCUAGUUGGUGGGGUAAAGGCCCACCAAGGCGACGACGGGUAGCCGGUCUGAGAGGAUGGCCGGCCACAGGGGGAAUGAGACCCGGGCCGCACGCCUACGGGAGGCAGCAGUUAGGAAUCGUCCGCAAUGGACGGAAGUCUGACGGAGCGACGCCGCUUGGAGGAGGAAGCCCUUCGGGGUGUAAACUCCUGAACUGGGGACGAAAGCCCUGUGUAGGGGGAUGACGGUACCCAGGUAAUAGCGCCGGCCAACUCCGUG
rnacentral:rRNA from 1 species